AGCCCCCCUCCAAUGGAGUCUCAAGGCAAAAAAGGUGCGGAUCCAAGACCUCCUUCAAACUUCACCGACCUCAUCUCAACCCUCCCCUUGGAGGAAGGCUGGGCACCCCUGCGCAUCCGAAAAUACCAAGGCUUUUGGAUCCCCGAACGCGUUCUCCAAGGCAUCAUGGACAUGCAACAGAACUUCAAGGCUCGCCCCGACGACCUCUUCGUGCUAAGCUAUCCCAAGUCCGGCACCACCUGGCUCAAAGCCCUCACCUACGCCAUCAUGACACGAACCCAAUACCCUCUCGAUCACCACCCUCUCCUUCGCCAAAAUCCUCACGAGUUCGUCCCUAUCAUGGGCAUAACCUACGCCAAAGGCGAAGCCUCAGAACUAGAGGCCAUGUCAUCACCUCGGAUCCUCAACACUCACUUGCCUUACUCUCUCCUGCCACACGCCAUCAAGAGCCUAGGAUGCAAGCUCAUAUAUGUCUGCCGGGACCCCAAGGAUGUGUUGGUCUCCCGGUUCCACUACAAUAAUAGGAUGAGGCCGCAAGCUAUGGAGCCAAUUCCAUUUACCAAGGCCUUUGAGAUGUUCUGUGAGGGCAAUUGCCCCUACGGGCCGAUAUGGGAGCAUGUUCUCGAGUACUGGGAGGAGAGCCAGAGGAGGCCAGAGAAGGUGCUGUUCUUGAAGUACGAGGAGAUGUUAGGGGAUCCGCCGCGGAUUGUGAAGAGAUUGGCCGAGUUCAUGGGGUGUCCCUUCUCUCCAGAGGAAGAGAAGGAAGGGGUGGUGGAGGAGAUCAUAAAACUGUGCAGCUUUGACAAGAUGAAGAGCUUGGAGGUCAACAAGACGGGUAAACUGCGUCCCGAUUUCGUCCUAACCAAUGAUUCUUUCUUCAGGAAAGGCGGGGCAGGGGAUUGGAGGAAUCAUAUGAGUCCGGAGAUGGCGCGGAAGUUGGACCGCAUCACCGAGCAAAAGUUUGAGGGGUCCGGUCUGACCCUUGAUGCCGUGGAUGUGGAAGCGGCGGCCACCAAUGGUGAUGUCCAAGCACAAGCCUAGUCGCAGUUGUUUGUGAUCUUCUUUUUAUUUUUCCGAUGUUUAGAGUGAGAUUACGUAAGAAGCUGCUGCAAUCCUGUAACCCCCGUAUGUUGCUAGUCUUGGCCGUAGCGUCUGUCUCUGCUCUUGCUGUCAACCUUUGUUGACCCCUGGGAGCGUCAAUAAGUUGUAGCUGCGGAAGAUGUCUGUUAUCUUGUAUCAUUUUAUUUCUCUUGAUUUAGUUGCUGUAGUCACGUAAGAGAGCUAUAUAAUAUUCCGUUUUUAAUAAAAAAAAUAAUGUCUGUUACCUCUAUGAUCGACGUGUCUUCGUGAUGUUUUCGUCUCACGCUAUUAAUGCUACAUUUAUUCAUUUUAUUUAGAAUAAUUGCUAAAAUAUAAAUAUCAGUGAGUCAUAUUGUAGUGAAUGGGCUGAAAUGGGCCAAAUCACAUUCCCAACGACUCCCUAUAUAUUUGAGAGAGCGAUAAAAAUAAUCAUUAAAAUAAAUCAUAGAAAUUUCACUGCCCAUGAAGCUUCUGCUCUUGGAUACGAGGCCCAACUGUUGUUUGUCCAACAUUACCAGUCCUUUGUUUAUACCAGCAUUUCUGUUACCACCAUAAAUGGCCAAAGCAUUAAAAGUCUUGAUCGUAGAAAUCUCUUUAUCUAUUAGCCCGAUAGGAAAGAGGAAACUCUACGAUUUCCAACAUCCAGAUUAAAUGCUUGAAAAAUCAUAGAGAAUUCGUGCACGCUGCCUGAUAAAUUUCAAGCUAACUAGCUUCUUCAACUCUGCUUCUAUUGUAAAAAAAUAUAUUUUUUAAGAAUUCUUUUUAUCUUUUCUAAUUAAAAGUUUUAUUUACUCAAAACGUUUUUUAUUGGAUCCCUGCAAAUUAUUUUUUGCAGAAAAAUAUUGGAGUUGCAUUUGAUUUGGGUUUCAAUGCUUAGUUAUACAGUCAAUUCGAUUGGAGUGGGGCUGUUGCAAAGAGGUUGUUGAGCAGCCAUUAAAGGAAGGAUACCUUGAGGAAAAUUUUUCUGUGGUGAUGGGUCAGAAAAUGGUCAAAUAUGGUGAUGGUCAUCCUCUUUUGUGUGAUCAGCCUUUUAUGCAUUACAUAUUCUUUUGAUGUGGCUGGAUAUACUUACAUUAGAAUUGUAUAAAAUGUCUUUUUUAAAAUAAAUAAAUAAAUAAAAUAAAAUAAAAUAAAAUAAAAUAAAAGUAGAAGAAGAAGAAGCAGCAGAAGCAGAUAAAAGCACGAUUGAGUGCUGUGCAUGUUAUUAUAUUAUGGUAUUUUUUUGGAAAUGACCACCAGACGUCUACGUUAUCGCAAAAGAAACAAAACAAAACGUAUCGCUUCGCUACAAGUUAAAAUUAUAUUGUUUUCGACCGUUACUGCGGGGAAAAAAAGUUCACCACGAGAAAGAAUAAUUUAAUGAGAAGAGUGACCAUCCAAUUCGAUAAAAAAAGUAAUAAAAAUUAAAGAAAAUAUAUAUUAUGUCUGUGGGUCCUUGAGCUUAAUGUUUUGCCAUUCAAGCUCGAUAAUACUCGACUCGAACCGAAUCGAGAUGAUGCAUAUAAUAAGAUGCUGCAUGCUCCAAAACUAGUGGGGUAGAUGGGAGGAAGAUGCUUCAGCCCUUUCCGCUACUUUUUCCAGUGUGCCAGGGAGUGAAUCAUGCAUAGCUUGACCCGUGAACCACACCUACCCCAGGAAUAUCGCCACCAACCUCCUGGACCACAUAUUGAUUUGACAAGCCUGAUCUAAAAUUUAUAUUAAAAUAGUAAAGGAACAUAUGGAGUAUGAGGGCUUUAUAUCAUUACUUACAUAUUAACAUUUGCCCGAAGGGUACUAAUUAAGAUGUUGUUUGGGAUGCGACAAUGAUUCCAAGAUCAGCCAUGACUUAAACGCAACUAGGUCACGUACUUAUUCUAUCGUAGUUAUUGCACCGAAAAUCAACCCAUUCUAGACAUCAUACGAGAAAUACCACGAUGCUGGGGAACUCAACGAUCCACUGCUCUAGCCGGGCUUGAUGAGGAUUUGUAGCAGACGGUCACUAUAGAGAUCCUGGUUGAAUUGCCGUGCUUCAAUUUGAAAUAAUGCAAACGUAAAAAUCUUUUUGUCGGAGUGUGUCCGACAGAAGACCCUCAAAUACCUCAAAGAACCAAAAGAAGUUCUUUUGCAGUCCGUUAGGACAUCUAAGCACUUAUCCUCUGGGUUCCCCCUAGAGAUGAUUGUAUAGAUGGAGAAUGCCUACCACCGCAGAAUUAGGACACAUGGGUUGGCCAAAAAUGACUAGCCUCGGUACAGCCCGAAUAUCAGAUGCAAGUGUCUCGCACUCAGAUGACGUAUUACCUAUCAUAUCGGCAGGAUUUCGGUGAUCACCUAGUAUCCUGGCUAGGAUGCUGCCAACAUUGGGAGCUGUUGAGAUGCAAACCCGGUCGCGCAACAUCUGGCCUGCCAAGCAGCAGCUUUUGACUAGCUGCACACAAACGUCGUGGCGAAUACUAAUUGGACGGUCCUUUUGGUAAACUAUUGUCAACCUAGAUGCACAUUAGUAGUGAUAUUGGGUUGAAAUUUAGAAAUAAAAUAUCUCUUAGCUUCGUGGAAAAAAGUAGUCAGAGUUCCUUCAAUCUAUUCAGCCCCAAUUAAAUGUUAUAGAAUAUUUCAGAGUUGGUUUUUAGCCGGUGAUCUUAAAUUUUCAUGGUAUAUCAAACAUGUUAGCUCGAGAUAUUCGGAAAAUUUUAAUCAGUGUAAUAUAGCAUACUAUAUGUGGUAAUCUUAAAUUAUUAGUNNNNNNNNNNNNNNNNNNNNCCAUUUGGGAAAAAAUCUUAUUCCCCCCAACAAUUAGAGAUUAGAUAACUUCAAGAUAAGGAUCAUCAUUGAUCCAAGAUCACCAUGGUGAUUCUAUUUGGAUCACCAAAUGCCAUUUAAAAUGAUUAUCUUUAUUAAUUAACGAUAAUAUAUUUUAUUUUUAUAUUAACUAAUUAUAGCUAUAUAUAUUCUUGGGAAAAAAACUACAGUCAAAUAUACUAUUUCAUUUGUCACUAAUCUUCAAAAUUUUUAUGCAAAAUUCUUAAAAAAUAUCUCCAUCUCAUUUAUCGGACUAGUUGAGUUUGAUGAAUUCAUUGGACAACUAGACCUUGAUGAAGACAACGUGUCAUUAGGUGCCUCAUCACACCAUCCGGCAGACUUCCACCUCUUUUAGCAUGAGUGUGGGAGAGAGCAAUUGCCAUGCAUCUUUUGAUUCAAUUAGUGAAAUUGUUAAGGCUGGUUUGGUGGACAUCAAUUAUUUUUAACCCACUUAUUCUGCUUAUAGAAGCCUUUAUAUUUUUUUCAUUUUAAAGCUAGUGUCCGUUGGGAUUGGGAGAUAACAACAAACUAGACAAUUAAAGUACAACAGAAUCAACAACUCUCCCACCUUAUAUAAACCUGUUAGAAAACAAACAACUAGAACCAAUCCACCUAAUAUAUAUAUCAAGGUAUUCACAAAUACUUAGCUGAUAAAAAAAAGAACACAAAAGGAACAUCAAAUUUUUAUGUGGAAAACCUCCCUAAUGUGGAGAGUAAAAACCACGGGACCGUAGUCCACCCAAAAUCUUCCACUAUCAACAAAUAAUGGGUAUACAAUCUGUUCUCUCUAGCCAAAACUAGAGGUAUAUAUCACCACAUAAUCUCAAAAAUAAUAUUCUUGGCAAACAUCAAUAAUAAAAGAGAAAGAUUGAGAAGAUCUCACAUAAACAGCAGCCACGUUUCUGCAAAAGUUGACCGUGCUAGAAGACUGCAAAUGAAGAUCACACUGUACAGAUCGAAGAACCACGUGUUGCGAGCCUGCUGUCCAAAUUUUAUCUCGAUCGAACCACAGAUCACCUCCGAUCGUCAUUUGAUCAAGACUGCACGUGGAAUAUCAAUUAUGUAUCUUCUCCGCUGCCUCCCUCUAUUUUUAACUCGUGGAAGAUGGCUCACAUACCCAGCCUUCUCAACAUAAAAGGUUGCCCUAAUGGACGUCACAUUUUGGGCCAAAAAUAGUCCAACGAAAUAGGCUAAAACUAAUUAAUUUAGCCCACAUUUGUUGGGCUAAGUCUCCUCCAACAUAGGAGGGAUAACCCAACAAAUCUCUCCCUCCCGACUAUGUGGAGGGAUUCACCAUCCCGGCGAUCAAUCGACAUGCCUCAAGCUUUUCUCUUGGCAAAGAUUUCGUCAACAUAUCAGAACCAUUAUCAUCUGUAUGAAUUUUCUUAAGUUUCAAUAAUUUAGAACUCAGAACAUCUCGAAUCCAAUGGUAUCUCACAUCAAUAUGCUUCGAUUUUGAAUGAAAGGUAGAGUUUUUACCAAGAUGGAUAGCACUCUGAUUAUCACAAUAUAACACAUAGUGCUCUUGCUUGAAACCAAGCUCUUCAAUAUAUUUUCUUAACCAUAGCAACUCUUUACAUGAUUCUGUUGCUGCAAUAAACUCUGCUUCGGUGGUAGAAAGUGCAACACACUUCUGUAACUUUGCUUGCCAUGCCAUGGCUCCUCCUGCAAAAGUAAUUAGAUAACCUGAAGUAGAUCUGCGAGUAUCAACAUCUCCAGCCAUAUCUGCAUCCGUGCAAUCAACUAGCAGAGGUUUCUCACAUCUAAAGCUAAGUUUCAAACCGGAUGUACCUCGAAGAUAUCUCAUAAUCCACUUCACUGCAUUCCAAUGCUCUCUUACUAGAUUUGAAAGAAAACGACUAACUGUGCCAACUGCAUGAGCCAUGUCUGGUCUUGUACACACCAUUGCAUACAUCAAACUUCCUACCGCUGAAGAAUAUGGAACUUUCUUCAUAUCUUUCUUUUCUUCAUCUGUAAAAGGACACUGUUUAGUGCUCAAUUUAGAGUGAGUAGCACGAGGAGUACUAACCAUUUUAGCUUUGUCCAUAUUAAACUUCUGAAACACUUUCCCAAUGUACUUUUCUUAUGACAUGUACAACUUCUUAGCAUCUCUGUCUCGAUUAAUCCUUAUGCCAAGGAUUUGUUUUGCUGACCCUAAGUCUUUCAUAGCAAAAGACUUAUUUAAGUGCUUCUUCAACCUAUCAAUCCGAGAUGCAUUCUUGCCAACAAUCAACAUGUCAUCAACAUAAAGCAACAAAAUGAUAAAAUCAUCAUCAUUAAAUUUCUGUACAAAAACACAAUGGUCAGAAAUUGUCUUCUUGUAACCAUGCUCCCCCAUAACUGACUCAAAUUUUUUGUACCAUUGUCUCGGUGCCUGCUUCAAGCCAUAAAGACUUUUCUUUAAUCUGCAUACAUAAUCCUCUUUUUUCUUUACCUCGAAACCUUCUGGCUGCUCCAUGUAAAUUUCUUCCUCUAAGUCACCGUGAAGGAAAGCAGUCUUGACAUCCAUCUGCUCAAUCUCUAGAUCAAGACUAGCUGCUAAAUCGAGAACAACCCGAAUAGAUGAUAUCUUCACAACUCGAGCAAAUAUUUCAUUAAAAUUAACACCUUUUCUUUGGCUGAAUCCUUUGACAACCAAUCUAGCUUUAUACCGUGGACAUGAUGAGUGUUUUUCUUGCUUCACUCAGUACACCUACCUAUUCUUUAAAGCUCUUUUGCCUUUAGGCAACUUUACUAACUCAAAGGUGUGAUUCUCAUAUAGUGACUUCAUUUCAUCCUUCAUAGCCUCAAUCAAUUCUUUCUUGUGUUCAUCUUCCAUUGCUUCUUCAUAAUUUUCGGAUUCUCCCCCGUCAGUAAGUAGAACAUAUUCAUUAGCUGAAUACCGUGUGGAAGGUUGUAUGUUUCUGUUGGACCUCCUAAGUUGAGCUGGAACGUCUGGUUCUUACAACUGAUUAUCAACAUCAUUAUUUGCUUCAGCCUGUAUGGGAGCAUUUUCAUUCACAUCAAUUGCAUCUGGCUGGUCAUUCUGCAACUCAUCAGCAUUUUCUGGCACUGGUGUUGGUGCUAUAGGAACUGGAUCUAAGUCUAUCAUGUCAUCACUAUACUGUGGCUCUAUCUUAUCUGCUUUCUCAAUAUCCUGUAUGGUUUGAUCUUCCAUGAACACGACAUCAUGGCUUCUAAUAAGCUUUUUGCUGACUCGAUCAUAAAACUUGUACCCAAAAUUAUCCUGGCCAUCCUAAAAAUAUGCACUAUCUAGUUUUAGCAUCAAGUUUGGACCUUUCAUCUUUGGGAAUAUGCACAAAUGCCUUGCAUCCAAAGACAUGAAGAUGAUCAUAAGAAACAUCUUUACCUGUCCAGACUCUGUUUGGCACAUCAAACUGUAAAGGAACACAAGGUGUGAGAUUCAACACAUGUACAACUGUACUCAAAGCCUCACCCCAAAUGGAUCUUGGCAAACCUGCUUGUGAAAGCAAACAUCUGACUCUCUCCACCAAUGUCCUAUUCAUUCUUUCUGCCAAACCAUUCAACUGAGGUAUCUUUGGAGGUGUUUUCUGAUGCCGAAUAUCCUGUUCUCUACAAUAAUCAUCAAAUGGACUUAAGUAUUCUCCUCCAUUAUCUGUUCGGAUACAUUUCAGCUUUCUCCCUAUUUCUCUCCCAAUUGAGGUCUGAAACUGUUUGAAAACAUUCAAUACAUGAUCCUUUGUCUUCAAGGUAUAAACCCAUAUCUUUCUUGAAUGAUCAUCAAUGAAUGUCACAAAAUAACGAGCACCACCAAGUGUUAUUGUCUUCAUUGGACCACAAACAUCUGAAUGCACCAGAUCAAGUGCAUUUGGUUUUCUAGAAGGAGGGGAUGCUUUGAAGGAAACUUUGUUCUGCUUACCUGCUAAACAGCGAGCACAAUUUCUCAGAUGAAUACUCUUCACUCCAUGUAGUAGUCCUUUCUUGGCUAACAUCGAUAAGCCUUUCUCACUCAUGUGACAUAGUCUUUUGUGCCAUAACUCAACUGUAUCGUCAUUCUCCAUUGCAUUGAUACUGGUUUUGGAGAGCCCUGUCUGUAACAAGUAUAAAGUUGAGUACUUUUUACCUGUAGCCACAACCAAAGCUCCUUUAGUAUGCUUUCAUCCACCAUCAGAGAAAGUAUUGCAGAAUCCUUCAUCAUCAAGUCUACCCACAGAAAGUAGGUUAUAACGGAUGUUGGAAAUAUGUUUCACAUUUUAAGAACCAACUUUGUGACAUUGUUGGUUUCUAAACAAACAUCGCCUACAACGACAACUUUGGCUAUGCCACUAUCUCCCAUUUUUACAACCCCAAAAUCACCAGCUAUAUAGGUUGAAAAGAGAUCCCUCCGCGAUGUAGCAUGAAUAGAAGCAUCACUGUCAACUACCCAGCUCAUCUCAUGACAUGCAAGAUUAACAACAUCAACAUCACAAGCAAUAAGAAAGUUUUCAAUAAUGGAAACCUGAUCUUUAUCAUUAUCAUCUUUCUUCUUAUCUGUAUCUUUGUUUUGCUUGUUUUCCCUCUUCAACUUCCAACAAUACUUCUUGAUAUGCCCCUUUCCACCACAAUGAUAACACUCAACAUUAGCGAAUUUAUUGGACUUACUUCUGGUCUUGCCUCUGUACUUCGAAUCUCUGCUUUUAUUCAUCUCCCUCGUCUCGGUAACUAAGACAUCUGACUGUGAAGAGGAACCCUAUGAUUUUCGUCUCAUAUCUUCAUUCAGAUCACUUCCAUUGAGAUAACACCAUUCGGGGCUGAGUUAGAUAAUGUUGUCCUCACUGUCUCCCACAAGUUCGGCAGAGUGCCUAGAAGCCAUAAUCCCAGUACCUCAUCAUCAAAAUUGAUACCUAUUGUGGCCAACUGAUUAAUGAUCCUUUGGAAUGUAUUUAAAUGAUCUGUCAUAGGAGUUCCAUCCUGAUACCUCCAGGACAUCAUCUACUUUAUGAGGAACAAUUUAUUAUUUCCAGUUUUUCGAGCAUACAACUGUUCAAGCUUGGUCCAUAAACUGCAUGCAUGUGUCUCUCCACUAAUAUGAUUCAAAACAUUAUCAUCUACCCAUUGCCUGAUAUAUCCACACACUUGUCGAUGGAGCAAUUUUCACUCCUCUUCAGUUUUAUCAUCAAGUUUCAUAGUAGAAAAUACCGAUUGAUGAUAACCUUUCACAUAGAGAAGAUCUUCCAUCUUUUCUUUCCAUGUAUGAUAAUUAGUACCAUUCAGAUUAAUCAUUCUAGCAGUAUUUGUCUCCAUUGUUCACACAAGACAAAAUAAUUCAACAACCUCGCUCUAAUACCACUUGUUGGGAUUGGAAGGUAACAACAAACUAGACAAUUAAAGCAUAACAGAAUCAACAACUCUCCCACCUUGUAUAAACCUGUUAGAAAACAAACAACUAGAGCCAAUCCACCUAAUAUAUAUAUAUAUAUAUCAAGGUAUUCAUAAAUACUAAGCUGAUACAAAAAAAAAAGAACACAAAAAGAAUACCAAAUUUUUACGUGGAAAACCUCCCCAAUGUGGAGAGUAAAAACCACGGGACCGUAGUCUACCCAAAAUCUUCCACUAUCAACAAAUAAUGAGUAUACAAUCUAUUCUCUCUAGCCAAAACUAGAGGCAUAUAUCACCACAUAAUCUCAAGAACAAUAUUCUUGGCAAAUAUCAAUGAUAAAAGAGAAAAAUUGAGAGAAUUUCACAUAAAUAGCAGCCACGUUUCUGCAAAAGCUGACCUUGUUAGAAGACUGCAAAUGGCGAUCACACUGUAUAGAUUGAAGAACCACAUGUUGCGAGCUUGCUGUCCAAAUUUCAGCUCGAUCGGACCACGGAUCACUAUCCGAUCGUCGUUUGAUCAAGACUGCGCGCGGAAUAUCAAUUCUAUAUCUUCUCCGCUGCCUCCCUCUAUUUUUAACUUGUGGAAGACGGCUCAUAUACCCUGCCUUCUCAACAUAAAAGGUUGCCCUAAUGGGCCUCACGUUUUGGGCCAAAAAUAGUCCAACCAAAUAGGCUAAAACUAAUUAAUUUAACCUACAUUUGUUGGGCUAAGUCUCCUCCAACAUAGGAGGGAUAACCCAACAGUGCCAACAAAUUUGGAGCAAUAUGAGUUUUUUUUUAAGAACAAUAUUAUAAAUUCUAAAAUUCAUGAUUCUGAGACCAUUGUGCGGAACCUAAGCUAGGAUGGUACCAGUUCGAUUCAGUAUACCAAAAAUUAAUAUGCCCUCCAUACCAUAUAUGAGUACCAAACUGAUAUAAGAUUGUAUGCUCUAUAUCAUUCGAUUUGGUACAGUACAGUAUACAAUAAUUUUUUUACACUUCUUCUUACAUAUAAGCCGAACUUUUUUUUAAUGGGCGAGCCCGACAUGUAAAAUUUUUAAAUAAUAGGAUUAAAGAGUACGGAGAUAGGUUCGAACUCAAGACCUCUGUUCUAAUACCAUAUUUUUUUUUGAUACAUCGGUAGCUCAUGUCAAACAAGCAUGAGCACUAUCAUCAUCAUCAAGAGAUUUGAUACUAUGUUAAAAACACCAUUUAUUCAAAAAAACUUAAGUUGAUAAAAUAAAAUAGAUUUAUUUAUAUAUAUAUAUAUAUUUAUAGAUUGGUUAUUUUUUUAACUUUAAUAACUUCUAAAUUAUAUUUAUUAUAUUGUCUGUUUUUCCCUAUCCUCGUGUCCUUCAGAGUUAUUCGAAAUGUCGCAUCCUCGGUAUGAUUUAGUGGACAUGGUUAAAAGCUGAUUUCACGAGAUCAAGCGGCGCAUAUUAUAGCAGGAAAGCUCGGUUUCGGUAGGAGACAGCGGUGGGGACUACCUUAUUAGGAUGGGAAAGGACGAAGGCUUUGUAAUGGAGGGCAAGAUAAUUAUAAAGACGUGGGCCCACCUAUGAUGACUGACCUCACGUGGGAGAUCCGGCUGCAACGAAAAAGACGGUAGACCCAAGUGGAGUGCAUGAGUCCAAAUAUAUAUAUAUUUAUGGUCGAGCACAUGAUUCUAAAUGUACGUUCCUUUUUCUGUCCCCGUCCUUGCACCGUUCUUAAUAAAAUUGAUAAAAUUAAGUGGGCUAGAAUGAUUUGGACCACCUGAGAAGCUAUCAUAAAUAAAUUUCUCUAGUGGAACGAUGGAGAGGAGCAAUAACCCAUGACUGCCAAACUGCCCGGGUCCUCAUGGUCCCAUGGCAUUUAUACAUGGUUCCACUUCCACACCAUAGCAUAAUCAUAAUUUCAGAAACCAACCCCGACUUCCAAAUUGCAGUCUCCUUUAAGAUUGUCAUUAUUUGCAUUUGUUUCCUUCUGGACCAGCUGCGACCUCCACCAGAAGAGAUGAAAGGAUGUCAUCANNNNNNNNNNNNNNNNNNNNNNNNNNNNNNNNNNNCUUCUUUCUUUCUUNUUUUUUUUUCUUUUUUUCUGGAAGCUUAUGAUACGUCGGCGGGCUGUAUCCUUCGAGGGACCUACAAAAAGCCGGUGGCCGGAGCUUCCGGCGCCGGCCCUCCGAUGCUUAAGUCAGGAAGGGCUUUAGUAGAGAAGGAGAGAUGAGUUGUAUAUCAGAAUCUAAAAGUCAGAAUCCUCCUUCAAGAGAAAGAGUUUCCUCUUUUAUAGAAGGGAUAAAGGGUUACAUGUGAUGUGACCGGAUGAAUUAAAUGAGUUACCGUCAUGAUUGAGCAUGAUCAUAUGAAUUAAUGCAUUGCUGUGGAGGGCUAGAAUGGAGCUGAUGAGUUGUUGUGGAUGACCGGACGUAGUUGAGUGAGUCAACUGGUUGCCGCGGAGGGCUUGAGAUUUUGAGUAAGCCGGAGAUCAGAGGAGGCCAUGUGCAUUAAUUGUUGAGUAAGCCGGAGAUCUGUGGAGGCCAUGCGAAUUAAUUGUUGACAGUCGUUCAGGCAGAGAUCAUUGGAUUGGGUCCCGGGUGAGGAGGAGAGGGGCUUGGUUCCCGACGGAGUGAAGGAGUUUGCUUCGUCCUUUGACCGGAUCUUCUUCGGGGUUGAGGUCGAUCAGGGUUGGCUAUACUAAGACUAGGGGCCGCAAGGCCGCAGAGCUUCGAGCUCUGAGGUCGGGGAUGCUGAGGUCGGGCGCUUAGAGGUCGAACGCCUGGAGAUCGGGCGUAUCCGAGGUCGGGCGCCUAUGAUGUCAGGCGUAUCCAAGGUCGGGUGCCUGAAGAUCGGGCGCAUCCGAGGUCGGGCGCAUCUAAGGGUUGCUGCCGGAGCGCCUGUCAUCACGUGCCGGCGAUGCAUUCACGUGUUUCGGAGUAAUCUAUUUUUCCUCCAAUAGUUUUAAUUAAAAAAAACUACUAUGAUACUAAAUGGAAGCGAUCUACUGGAGGGAGAGGGGUAAGGAACUAUCCACGAUCAACGAUACUCCUUUUGUUCCUUUUACUAGAUAGUUGUGUUGAUGAUGAUCGUGCCUUACAAAUUAAAUCUAUCAUAAAUAAUGAGAUGAGCCAAGAGAUUUUAGGAUCGUUGGUAAGGAUACCGUAUUUUAAUGCUCCUCCGACUUGUUCUAAAAGUUUCUAUCUUAGCUCAUGAGUGUAUACAAACAGCUGCCCCCAAUAAAUACCCGUUUUCAAGACAAAAAAAAAAAAAAAAAAAAAAAAAGAAACCUGUGACAAUAAGGGAAUCUGGGGUUCCUACCUAAUCAUGCAAUUAAAAAAAUAAAAAAUAAAAAAUAUAAAGAAAAAGACACCCAAAAUAAAAAAUAGGUAGGAGAAUGGGAAAAAAGAAAAAAAAAUGUGAGGACCUGUGCAGACAUAUAUUUAGUCCUAUAUCAGUUACUCACUAUGUUGAUCUUAGGUAUUUAUACAGAAUUAAAAAAUUUAAAUAAUAUCUUCUGGCUAGUUUUUUUAUGUAAGAUACUCAAUUAUUAUAAAUGGUAUUAAAACAGACCUAACCAAUAACUUAUAUAAAUUAAGAGAUAGUGCAGCAAAAAUUUAAUGAAACUGAUCAUGGGUCAAUCGUGAUGCUUUAGAUUAGAUUUAAAUAAAUUUAAAUUUUUAGCUUUUUAAGUAAAUAAUAUUUUUUAAGUAAUUUUUUUAAUACGAGGUUUUAACGAACGAGAUUUUCAAAAACAAAAAAGUAAAAAAAAGACGCCCAAAAUAGAUGUCCCGCAUGGCUUCCAAAACUAGCAGCCAAAUGAGGUGUCAGGUAUUGAGAGAUAACUAGGCCACUUCGGGAGAAGGACCACCAUAAUCUCUGCAAACACCCGCUAGGGGGCAUAGCAUAGUGCCCUUUUUAUCGACGUCUGGUCAACCAUCUCUGUGCAGCAGCCCCCCUCCAUUAAUGGAGUAUCAAGGCAAAAAGGGUGCGGAUCCAAGACCUCCUUCAAACUACACCGACUUCAUCUCCGCCCUUCCCUUGGAGGAAGGCUGGGCACCCAUGCACAUCCGAAAAUACCAAGGCUUUUGGAUCCCCCAACGUGCUCUCACCGGCACCUUGGACAUGCAGCAAAACUUCAAGGCUCGCCCCGACGACCUCUGGGUGCUGAGCUACCCCAAGUCCGGCACGACCUGGCUCAAAGCCCUCACCUACGCCAUCAUGACACGAGCCCAAUACCCUUUCGAUCACCACCCUCUCCUUCGCCAAAAUCCUCACGAGUGCGUCCCUUUCGUGGACAGAACCUACUCCAGAGGCCAAGCCUCAGAAAUAGAAGCCAUGCCCUCCCCUCGUAUCCUCAACUCUCACUUGCCAUACUCUCUCCUACCACACUCCAUCAAGAGCUUAGACUGUAAGGUCAUAUAUGUCUGCCGAGACCCCAAGGAUGUGUUGGUCUCCCGGUGGUACUUCAAUAAUGGGAUGAGACCGCAACCUAUGGAGCCAAUUCCAUUUACCAAGGCCUUCGAGAUGUUCUGUGAGGGCAAUUGCCCCUA
rnacentral:lncRNA from 1 species